AUGUUGCUACUGUCAAAAAAAAAAAAAAUGUCGUAUGUUGCUUCUUCUCGUCAUUUUCAAAAACUCGAAAACACUAAUUUGAUUCGAUUCUUCUCCUCUUCAACUACAACAACACUAUACUCUCAAGACAAAGACGAAGAAAAUCUCGUUUCCAAAUUCAAUCAAUUAGUGCAUCAAAAUCCUACACCACCCAUCAUUCAAUUUGGUAAAAUUUUAGGUUCCCUUGUCAAACUCAAUCAAUACUCCACUGUUGUUUCACUUCAUCGAGAGAUGGAAUUAAAUGGAAUUUCCUCAAACUUGGUCACUUUGAGUAUAUUGAUCAAUUGUUUUUCUCAAUUAGGUCAAAUCUCUCUUUCCUUUUCUGUAUUUGCCAACAUUCUCAAAAAGGGUUUUCAUCCAAAUGUCAUAACCUUUAAUACACUCAUCAAGGGUCUCUGUCUCAAAGGUCAGAUCCAUAAAGCAUUCAACUUUCAUGAUAAGGUCGUAGCGCAGGGAUUCCGGUUAGAUCAAGUUAGUUAUGGGACCUUGAUCAAUGGGUUAUGUAAACUUGGACAAACAAGAACAGCCCUACAACUGCUGAGACGAGUUGAUGAGAAACUGCUUCAACCUAAUGUGGUAAUGUACAAUGCAAUUAUUGAUAGUAUGUGCAAGGAUAAACUUGUUAAUCAUGCUUUUCAUUUAUACUCUGAAAUGAUUGCUAAGAAACUUUCUCCUGAUGUAGUCACUUACAGUACUUUAAUUAAUGGCUUUUGCAUCGUAGGUCGGUUAAAAGAAGCAAUUCAUCUGUUUAAUAAAAUGGUAUCGGAAAACAUCAACCAUAAUAUUUAUACCUUUAAUAUAUUGGUUGAUGCAUUUUGUAAAGAAGGAAAAGUGAAAGAAGCUAAAAAUAUGUUUGCUAUGAUGAUGAGAAAAGGUCUUAAACCUAAUGUUGUUACUUAUAACUCUUUAAUGGAUGGAUAUUGCUUAGUUAAAGAAAUUAACAAGGCCAAUGGUAUAUUCAACACUAUGGCUCAGAUGGGAGUGGUUCCUGAUGUUCAAUGCUACAAUAUCAUGAUUAAUGGAUUUUGUAAGAUUAAAAUGGUAGAUGAAGCCAUGAAUCUCUUCAAUGAAAUGCUUUGUAGAAAAAUUAUUCCUGAUACGAUAACUUACAGUUCCCUUAUUGAUGGUUUGUGCAAAUCGGGAAGAAUCUCAUAUGCUUUGGAGCUUGUCGAUGAGAUGUAUGAUAGAGGUCAACCACCUAAUAUAAUUACUUACAGUUCUAUAUUGGAUGCUUUGUGCAAAAACCACCAUGUUGACAAGGCAAUUGCUUUAUUAACAAAAAUUAAAGAUAUGGGUAUUCAACCAAACAUGUGCACAUAUAAUAUUCUUAUUGAUGGAUUGUGUAAAGGUGGAAGAUUGAAUGACGCUCAAAAGGUUUUUGAGGAUCUUCUGGUCAAAGGCUACAAUCUUGAUGUCUAUACAUAUACUGCUAUGAUCCAUGGGUUUUGUAAAAAUGGGUUUCUUGAUGAAGCAUUGGCCAUACUAUCAAAACUGAAAGACAAUAGUUGCAUUCCAAAUGCCGCAACGUAUGAAAUUAUUAUCCGUUCUCUAUUUGAUAACGAUGAAAAUGAUAAGGCGGAGAAACUUCUUCGUGAAAUGAUUUCAAGAGGUCUGUUGUAAGACUAAAACUAGGUAUGAUAUUUGUCUACUGUACAUUAUUAUUUUGAAUUUGUGUUUCAACAUUGUUUCAUCAUUUCAUUUAUGUAGUUGCUUCACCCAAUGGAAAGAAGGGUUUUGUUAUCUCUUUUGGCUAAGUGUGUUUAUAUUUCCCGACUACUUGAUCGGCAUGUUCCAACUUGGAGAAAUUAGUAGGAUAUGAAAAUUAUUAAUGUCAUAAGAGUGUUGUUGGGUUCAAUUUGUACUAAUUGUAUUACACUUGCUCUAGCCAAUAUCUAGAAACUUUAUAUAGUCAAAAUUUCAUUUCAAUACAGAAGUAGAAUACAUGUGAUAUCUGAGGGAAUUGGAUCAUGGAUACAGGUCUAGAGACUGAAAGCAAACUUGUUAUGGCUUGGGAAAUAUAAUAUCUUGUUAUUCAUUGCAUUAUCAUGACCAAAGAAGUAACUAGUUGUGGCUUGGUUUGUGAGUUUAAUACUUGAAAUGAUUAUGUGUGUGGCUUGUAAUGAAAUUAUUAGCUGAAACGUUUCUCUGCAAUAUCUGUUUUGCUGCAAAAUUCUAAUGUCUGCACUUUUUGGACAGAAUUUAUUGUUCUUAAUUGAGCUUAAGAAGAUGUGUUGGUCGUAGGAAACUGGGUUAAUUAAGAUUUGUUCUGUUGAGCCUAUCUUAGGGAUACUAAAUUGAAUUGGGACAGAACAAGUAAGCUUAUUAUUAUUUUUCUUUUUAAUACUUAUACUUCUGCAUUAUAGUUCUAAUCUUACGAAGCUUAUCUGUUUUAGAAUGAUAAGCUUAAGGUUGAGUUUCUAAGACCUGAACUGUAAACAACAGACAUAAGUUUGGCUUUGCCCUUAAGCGAACUGCAUAAUCUACUCAAAUAUGCAUUAAAGACUAAUAUUGAGAACUGGAAUGGUCUUCAAGUUGUUUGGUCACUAGGCUUAGAGUUUUAAACUUGCAUGCAGAAGGAGGGAGCAUGAUUCUAUUUUCUACAUAACUGCUGGUGCUGCAGUUUUGGAUGAUAAUUUAUCUUAAAUUUUGGUUUGGAGUUUUUUAAUAUUUUAGAAUGAUAUGGUUAGAAAAAAUAUUCCUAAUGUUGUAACGUACAGUUCCCUUAUUUUAGAAUUAUAUGGUUGGUUUAAACUGCUGCCACAUUCCUGCUUUUAGUAUAAAGCCAAGCCUAGUGGCUGUUACAGAGGUCAGGAACCUGUACGAAUAUUUCAGGGAUUUACAAAUGAAUUCAAAGUUAUACAAGUAGUUAUUUGAUGUUGUUUCUUGCAUUA